rnacentral:lncRNA from 1 species
AGAGAUCCGGAGCGCCACCGGCAAAGAGGUGUUGCAGAACCUCGGCCCCAAGGACAAGGUUUAUUACUGAGGAACUUGGCUGUUGGUCUCCACUGGGAAAGAAACACAAGGAUAUGGAAUUCUACUUGGAAAACUCAGGUCUUCCUGUUUGCUGGAUAAAUACAGAGACAAAAUCACAAUGAGCCCUCUCACAUUGAUGUGAAAAAAGAUCUUUGGAUAGAAACCUACUCAUUUAUUCUCAGGACUUUAAGUGCCCUGCUUCAUGUUUUGGCAUGUUGCAACUGACUUUAUUUUAUUUAUUUUAUUACAAGCAAGAGAAACAAAGUCUGGUUCCCGUAUGAUUUAAAAAAGAAAACAAAAGAAAAAGACUUGGGUUGGGUUAGGAGUUUCUCUGAACCAUGAAAAUGACCUCAAUAUUGGCUGAAAAAUUUGACAAGAAUGAAAAAUGGCAUGGUACAAGCUCCAGGAAGAUGUUGCAGAGAUGAGCUUCAGAUGCAUUUCAUUUUGCGUUGUUAUUAAUGGCUUGGAAAGAGGCCAUAAACCUAUUAUGGUAAUUAUGUCUGCAGAUGAGGGUAAAUAGGAUGGUGUUAUAAACACCAGUAAGCAAGAGACGUAGUACAGAGCAACCUAGGGAGAUUAGAAAUAUGGACAGGAAAUGAACAAACGAGAUCAGCCUGGAAAAGUGAAAACAUGCAUCUGGAGAAAUACAUAAUUUGAAAAACAGAGAGAUACUUAAAGGCAGGGUCAUACUUGGAAAGCAGUAAUGGUAAA